rnacentral:lncRNA from 1 species
AAAAGGUUACAUAUUCUCCAUCCUGGUGGAAUAAUAGAAUAUCUCUAUGUUUAAUUUCCCUCUCUCUCUCUAUCUUUUUGAAGGUAAAUUGAACUAGCCAAAACAAAAUUUAGCUAGUGGAGAUGUGUGCAUGGCAUGUGGUAGUGUGUUUUAUCUUCGUGGAUGCUUAGUUGGCAUGCCACAUAGACAGGGUUAAAUGUACACUUGCAGAGAACAAAUUAAAAUAUAACAGAAGCAACUUUAGAAUUCAAUGGCGGGUCUUGGAGGUGAAUAAUAUGAGCCACUAAUUUAUCAUCAAGUGAGACUACUAUGUUUGGCUACAAUACAUGUCACUGCUUUUCAUAAGUUAAUAAGAUAUACUGUAUAAGAAAAAUACAUCUAAUGAGCUAAUAAUCAUGAUCAAAAUCCCUAACAACAGAAAGUCUUAAGUUCUAAUACAUAAACGUACAUAUUCCUACUUAUUUAGACAACAGUAAAGUUUGACCGAAAACAUUGUCUAUUCAAAAUUUGUCUUUACCAAAAUAUCUUCAAUGAAUUUAUUCAAGCAGCCGGAGUAAAAUCAUAAUCUCCAUCGUCAUCUCCUUCUAAGGAUGCAGCAGGAGCAUAAUCAUAGUCUCCAUCAUCACCAUCUCCUAAUUCGAAAGAUGCUGCAGGAGCAUAGUCAUAAUCUCCAUCAUCAUCACCAUCUCUUUCUAAGCAUGCAGCUGGAGCAUAAUCAUAAUCACCAUCGUCAUCUCCAUCUGAACACAACCUUCUCUUCUCGAACCCAAUAAUCUUUAAAAUUCCAGACAUUCUAGCUAGAUAUGUAGUGGAUAUAUUGUAUGAUAUCUUUGCUAAGGUGUGAAGAUUAAUAGUAAUUGUGUUGUGUAUGAGAGAUUGGUGAAGAAACCAUAUGGUUAUAUAUAGGAAGGAUCCCAAGUGUGAACUCUUUGGGACACGCUAGAAAGUGUGUUAUGUUACAUGAGGAAUGUGCAAAGCCAUAAGUUUGGAUCCAAAAUUCACUUUACACAUGUCGUAUGUGAUGAGUGUUAAAAGGUAACAUAUUCUAUAUCUCGGUGGAAUAAUGGAAUCUCCUAUGUUUUAUUUCUAUCUCUCUCAAUUUUUGGAGUGUAAAUUGAACAAGCCAGAACAAGAUUUAGCUAGUGGAGAAG